rnacentral:Y_RNA from 1 species
GGCUGGUCCGAUGGUAAUGAGUUAUCAGAACUUACUAACCUCAGUGUUGCUAAAGUUGGUAUACAACCCCCUACUGCUAAAUUUGACUGGCUUUAA